GACGAACGCUGGCGGCGUGCUUAACACAUGCAAGUCGAACGGAAAGGCCCUGCUUUUGUGGGGUGCUCGAGUGGCGAACGGGUGAGUAACACGUGAGUAACCUGCCCUUGACUUUGGGAUAACUUCAGGAAACUGGGGCUAAUACCGGAUAGGAGCUCCUGCUGCAUGGUGGGGGUUGGAAAGUUUCGGCGGUUGGGGAUGGACUCGCGGCUUAUCAGCUUGUUGGUGGGGUAGUGGCUUACCAAGGCUUUGACGGGUAGCCGGCCUGAGAGGGUGACCGGCAACAUUGGGACUGAGAUACGGCCCAGACUCCUACGGUAGGCAGCAGUGGGGAAUAUUGCACAGUGGGCGGGAGCCUGAUGCAGCAACGCCGCGUGCGGGAUGACGGCCUUCGGGUUGUAAACCGCUUUCGCCUGUGACGAAGCGUGAGUGACGGUAAUGGGUAAAGAAGCACCGGCUAACUACGUG
rnacentral:rRNA from 1 species